rnacentral:lncRNA from 1 species
UAAAGUCACAAGAUCCAAUCCAUACUCACAAGGAGAGGAUAACACAAGGAUAGGAUAUCAGGAGGUAAGGAUCAUUGGGAGCCAUGACCGAAGCUGCCUACCACAUCUGUCAACAGGAAAAUGGGUUUCAAUUCUUUUGCAAUGAGUUUGCUGCCAGAACACAGGUGUCGUGAAAACCACCACUAAAUCAAAACUAAAAUGGUAAAGGUAAAGGCUCACAUCAACAUUAUUGUCAUUGGACACAUAGAUUUGGGCAAGUUUACCACAACUGGCCAUCUGAUCUACAAAUGUGGUGGGAUCAAAAGAACCAUUGAAAAAUUUGAGAAGGAAGCUGCUGAAAUGGGAAAGGACCAACUAUGCCUGAGUCUUGGAUAAACUGAAAGCUGAGCAUGAGUGUGGUAUCACCAAUGACAUCUCCCUGCGGAAAUUUGAGACCAGCAAGUAUUAUGUGACUAUCAUUGAUGUCCCAGGACACAGAGUCUGCAUCAAAACCAUAAUUGAUUAGAGGAACAUCCCAAGCUGACUGUGCAGUCCUCGUUGUUGUGGUGGUUUUGG